ensembl:vault_RNA Vault Vault RNA
GCGUUGGUUUAGCUCAGUGGUUACUUCUCCUAACAAAACGUAACUCAUGGUCGACGGUACACCGCUGGCCAGAGAUCUAACCACGGGCGCUGUCCAGCGUUUUG